UCAAAUCUGGCAGAGUUCAUCGCCUUUCUCCACGUUUGUCUUUCGAUGCCUCCAUAGCAAGUAGGUAUAGUUUGUCACUCUUUACUUUGGUCUCCCAUAAGCGUUCUAUGAGUCGAAAUCGUUCGGUGUUAUCACGCUGAUGCUAGCAUCAAAAAACUGUUGCGUAAAUUAAUGUGCUCCAUGGCCCUGUUGGUGUAUUCGUGUGUCCUAUUUAGCUCUGCCUUAUGAUCCCGCUACGAUGAGACAGUCGUUCGUUUCCUAGAAGCGGUUGUCCAACCUCUAUCGUACAGCCAAAGAAAAUCAACCCUGCUAUGUCUUCUGAAGGCGACGGUGAUGGUGAUACCGGAACAACCGCGCUCGUAACGAAAGGAAUUACGUCUGGCGAAUCGUCAAUGUCUCGUGAUAGUUUUUGUAUAGCCCUUGAUUAUUGUGACUGGUCAGCCUGCCAGUCAUCUACGAGUGCCAUUACUUGUCUGUGUCUUUUAAAUUGUUUGACUGGAGAAUAUUUGGCGAAAUCUCCAAUGCGCUGAUGGAAAUACAAUGGCAAGCUGGCGAAAGCUCGAAGAGGAUUAAUUCAGUGCUGCAGUAACAACUCAUACUGGCAUUUUCUUGCAGCUAAGGUUCCGACGAAGAUAGACAGAAUGGCUGAAGGCACAAGUUGAACGAGUAUAGUAUAUAGGUUGACCGUGUUUGCCUCACGUUCAA